UAAUAAGUGAUGGCGACCGGCGCACGGGUGAGUAACACGUAUCCAACCUGCCGAUAACUCGGGGAUAGCCUUUCGAAAGAAAGAUUAAUACCCGAUGGUAUAAUAAAACCGCAUGGUUUAAUUAUUAAAGAAUUUCAGUUAUCGAUGGGGAUGCGUUCCAUUAGGCAGUUGGUGAGGUAACGGCUCACCAAACCUUCGAUGGAUAGGGGUUCUGAGAGGAAGGUCCCCCACAUUGGAACUGAGACACGGUCCAA
rnacentral:rRNA from 1 species